rnacentral:misc_RNA from 1 species
AAAACUUCUCAACUGCUCCAAUGUUUUUUGUUGGAUGUGGCUUGGAAAUGGGGGAUUUUGCUGCAGGUUUAAUCUGCUCCCCUGAAACAUAUUAGUGGUGUCUGGGCAAGACUAUCCAUAGGUGUGAUAAAAUUAUCAAAGCCUUGGGUAUAUCUGCCUGCUGCUUCCAAUUUAAAUUGACCA